CAAAGUGKAGCUUAACCAAAGCCUCUCGCUU
rnacentral:tRNA from 1 species